UACAGAGGGUGCUAGCGUUGUUCGGAAUCAUUGGGCGUAAAGGGCGUGUAGGCGGUUUGUUAAGUCAUGUGUGAAAUCCCUCGGCUCAACCGGGGAACGACGCAUGAAACUGGCAAGCUAGAGUACCAAAGAGGGGGGUGGAAUUCCCGGUGUAGCGGUGAAAUGCGUAGAGAUGCGGAGGAACACCGAUGGCGAAGGCAGCCCCCUGGGCUAACACUGACGCUCAGGCACGAAAGCGUGGGGAGCAAACAGG
rnacentral:rRNA from 1 species